AAAACUAUAGUUUAAUUAAAAUUUAUGAUUUGCACUCAUAAGCUGUUUGUCAAAAACUAGUUUUA
rnacentral:tRNA from 1 species